rnacentral:rRNA from 1 species
GACGAACGCUGGCGGCGUGCUUAACACAUGCAAGUCGAACGGAAAGGCCUCUUUCGGGGGGUACUCGAGUGGCGAACGGGUGAGUAACACGUGAGUAACCUGCCCUUGACUUUGGGAUAACUUCAGGAAACUGGGGCUAAUACCGGAUAGGAGCUCCUGCUGCAUGGUGGGGGUUGGAAAGUUUCGGCGGUUGGGGAUGGACUCGCGGCUUAUCAGCUUGUUGGUGGGGUAGUGGCUUACCAAGGCUUUGACGGGUAGCCGGCCUGAGAGGGUGACCGGCCACAUUGGGACUGAGAUACGGCCCAGACUCCUACGGGAGGCAGCAGUGGGGAAUAUUGCACAAUGGGUGGAAGCCUGAUGCAGCAACGCCGUGCGCGGGAUGACGGCCUUCGGGUCGUAAACCGCUUUCGCUCAUGACGAAGCUUUGUGUGACGGUAGUGGGUAAAGAAGCACCGGCUAACUACGUG